rnacentral:rRNA from 1 species
AUUGAACGCUGGCGGAAUGCUUUACACAUGCAAGUCGAACGGUAGAGGGGGCAACCCCUCGAGAGUGGCGAACGGGUGAGUAAUAUAUCGGAACGUGCCCAGUCGUGGGGGAUAACGUAGCGAAAGUUACGCUAAUACCGCAUACGAUCUAAGGAUGAAAGCGGGGGAUCGCAAGACCUCGCGCGAUUGGAGCGGCCGAUAUCAGAUUAGGUAGGUGGUGGGGUAAAGGCUCACCAAGCCAACGAUCUGUAGCUGGGCUGGGAGGACGACCGGCCACACUGGAACUGAGACACGGCCCAGACUCCUACGGGAGGCAGCAGUGGGGAAUUUUGGACAAUGGACGCAAGUCUGAUCCAGCCAUUCCGCGUGCAGGAUGAAGGCCCUCGGGUUGUAAACUGCUUUUGUACGGAACGAAGAGGUCUCUCUUAAUACGGGGGACUCAUGACGGUACCGUAAGAAUAAGCACCGGCUAACUACGUGCCAGCAGCCGCCGUAA